CUCUCUCCCUCUCUCUCUCUCUUAUACCAGGUGUAGAACUAAAAUCUAAUUCAAGUUUAAGUUUAUUAUCUUAAAAAAUAUCUGGUUUGAUUAAAUGCAAGUUUGUUUUAAAGGGCUAUGUCUGGUGAAAGUUAUUUUCAUCUUUUUCCAUGUUGUUUUCGGUAACGAAAAUCUCUUAUUGAACAUUGAAUAGGCACGGCUAGCCAUGUCCUAAAUCAUAAUGUAUCGGUUAUGCAAGAAAAUUCGUUUGGAGUGUUUCCGGUUAUGAGUUAAAAGAGAACAACACGCCGCUUCGACAGGAACAUAUUCACCAAAACUAAAUAAAGAUGCUGCUUAUCCGGAACCAAAGACGUAGCAAUCAAGGCUAGACCCAGAUAGUAUGUCAACUGUAUGUAUAGUAGGUGCAGAGAAUUGAAGAAGAUAGAGUGUAUUAUUCUAAGGGACCAUUUAGACAGAGAUCGCCUUCAAAAAAAUGUAUUUACCGAAUGCACCAAAUCGACAUGCCAGAGAACAACCCAUCAGGCAACAUGAUGGUUACAGAAUAAACGACUCUAAGCUGUUGCAGCCGCAGAGACUUGGACUAAACUUUGAUUACAUGUCAGAAUCUAAUGUGUAAUAAAAAUACUAGUUAAU